rnacentral:rRNA from 1 species
UACGGAGGGAGCUAGCGUUGUUCGGAAUUACUGGGCGUAAAGCGCACGUAGGCGGCUUUGUAAGUUAGAGGUGAAAGCCUGGAGCUCAACUCCAGAAUUGCCUUUAAGACUGCAUCGCUUGAAUCAUGGAGAGGCGGGUGGAAUUCCGAGUGUAGAGGUGAAAUUCGUAGAUAUUCGGAAGAACACCAGUGGCGAAGGCGGCCCGCUGGACAUGUAUUGACGCUGAGGUGCGAAAGCGUGGGGAGCAAAC